rnacentral:rRNA from 1 species
UACGUAGGGUGCAAGCGUUAUCCGGAUUCAUUGGGUUUAAAGGGUGCGUAGGUGGGCAGGUAAGUCCGUGGUGAAAUCUCCGGGCUUAACCCGGAAACUGCCAUUGAUACUAUCAGUCUUGAAUACCGUGGAGGUAAGCAGAAUAUGUCAUGUAGCGGUGAAAUGCUUAGAUAUGACAUAGAACACCAAUUGCGAAGGCAGCUUACUACCCGAAUAUUGACACUGAGGCACGAAAGCGUGGGGAUCAAACAGG